GGUGGGAGGGGGGCGGGGGCUUUUUUUUUUUGCCCGACGGCUUUCCCUUCUUUUUUUCUUUUUCUAAAAAAUUUUUAAUUUUUUUUUGUCCUCCUCUCCUGCCUCCUUCGGGAGGAGUGAGGCGCUGAGGUGGGCUCGGGGGCUCCUCUCUGUUGCGGGAGGGGGUCUAUGGUGAUAGGACGGGGGCGGUGGGGGAAAGAGCGAGGGGCUGAGGAGGGGGCUCGCCGCCGCGCCCGCCGCCGCUGAGGAGGAGGAGGAAGAGGCGAGGCACCAUUUGCUGCUCCCUGCCCCAACCAUGGAGAACGCGCACACAAAGACUGUGGAGGAAGUUUUGGCUUAUUUCGGCGUCAACGAAAGCACCGGGCUCAGCCUGGAGCAAGUCAAGAAGCUGAAGGAGAAAUGGGGUUCCAACGAGUUACCGGCUGAGGAAGGAAAAACAUUACUCGAGCUUGUGAUUGAGCAAUUUGAAGACUUACUAGUUAGAAUUUUGUUGCUGGCAGCUUGCAUAUCUUUUGUCCUGGCCUGGUUUGAAGAAGGUGAAGAAACAAUCACAGCAUUUGUAGAGCCUUUUGUAAUCUUACUUAUAUUAGUAGCCAAUGCAAUUGUGGGAGUGUGGCAGGAAAGAAAUGCCGAAAAUGCUAUUGAAGCUCUUAAAGAGUAUGAACCAGAAAUGGGCAAAGUAUAUCGACAAGACCGAAAAAGUGUACAGAGGAUUAAAGCAAGAGACAUUGUCCCAGGUGAUAUUGUAGAAGUGGCAGUUGGAGACAAGGUUCCUGCUGAUAUAAGAAUUACUUCUAUCAAAUCUACAACUCUAAGGGUAGACCAGUCAAUUCUCACAGGUGAAUCUGUGUCUGUUAUUAAGCACACUGACCCUGUGCCUGAUCCUCGUGCUGUAAACCAAGACAAGAAGAACAUGCUUUUUUCUGGUACUAAUAUUGCUGCUGGUAAAGCUAUGGGAGUGGUUAUUGCAACAGGAGUAAACACUGAAAUUGGCAAAAUUCGUGAUGAGAUGGUGGCUACUGAACAAGAGAGAACCCCGCUCCAACAGAAACUGGAUGAGUUUGGAGAGCAGCUGUCUAAAGUCAUCUCGCUUAUCUGCAUCGCUGUUUGGAUAAUAAACAUUGGUCACUUCAAUGAUCCAGUUCAUGGUGGCUCCUGGAUUCGAGGUGCUAUCUAUUACUUCAAAAUUGCUGUUGCUCUUGCUGUUGCUGCUAUUCCUGAGGGUCUGCCUGCUGUCAUUACCACCUGCUUGGCUCUUGGAACCCGGAGAAUGGCCAAGAAGAACGCCAUUGUUAGAAGUCUUCCCUCUGUGGAAACCUUGGGUUGCACCUCAGUUAUUUGUUCUGACAAGACGGGUACGCUGACCACGAAUCAGAUGUCAGUCUGCAGGAUGUUUGUCCUGGACAGAGUAGAAGGAGAUAGCUGUUCUCUGAAUGAAUUUACUGUAACUGGUUCAACCUAUGCUCCCAUGGGAGAAGUGCAUAAAGAUGACAAACUUAUUAAAUGUAGCCAGUAUGAUGGCCUUGUGGAACUUGCAACGAUCUGCGCGCUCUGUAAUGAUUCCUCUUUGGAUUACAAUGAAGCUAAGGGAGUAUAUGAAAAAGUUGGUGAAGCCACAGAAACGGCACUUACCUGUCUGGUUGAAAAGAUGAAUGUAUUUGACACAGACUUGAAAGGACUUUCUAGAAUUGAACGUGCAAAUGCUUGCAACUCGGUGAUAAAACAACUCAUGAAGAAAGAAUUCACUCUGGAAUUCUCAAGAGACAGGAAGUCUAUGUCUGUCUAUUGUACACCAAACAAACCAAGCCGCACAUCCAUGAGUAAGAUGUUUGUUAAGGGUGCUCCUGAAGGUGUAAUUGACAGAUGUACACAUGUCCGUGUUGGAAAUGCUAAAAUACCAUUAACCUCAGGAAUUAAACAGAAAAUAAUGUCUGUAAUUAGAGAAUGGGGAACUGGUAGAGAUACAUUGCGUUGCUUGGCUCUGGCAACCCACGACAAUCCACCCAGAAAAGAGGAAAUGAAUCUUGAGGACUCCUCAAAUUUCAUUAACUAUGAGACCAACUUGACCUUUGUUGGCUGUGUGGGUAUGCUGGAUCCCCCAAGAAUUGAAGUAGCUUCAUCUAUAAAGCUGUGCAAACAAGCUGGUAUUAGAGUUAUUAUGAUUACUGGUGAUAAUAAAGGCACAGCAGUAGCUAUUUGCCGUCGCAUCGGUAUCUUUGUGGAAGAUGAAGAUGUUUCUACAAAAGCCUUUACUGGUCGUGAAUUUGAUGAACUCUCACUUGCUGCCCAAAGAGAUGCUUGCCACCAUGCCCGUUGCUUUGCUCGUGUAGAGCCUUCCCACAAAUCUAAAAUUGUUGAGUUUCUGCAGUCUUUUGAUGAGAUUACAGCUAUGACUGGUGAUGGUGUCAAUGAUGCCCCUGCAUUGAAGAAAGCAGAAAUUGGAAUUGCUAUGGGUUCUGGUACUGCAGUGGCUAAAACUGCUUCUGAAAUGGUUUUAGCAGAUGACAAUUUCUCAACUAUUGUAGCUGCUGUGGAAGAAGGACGUGCAAUUUAUAACAACAUGAAACAGUUCAUCCGUUACUUGAUCUCCUCCAAUGUUGGAGAAGUUGUUUGUAUCUUCUUGACUGCUGCCCUGGGUUUUCCUGAAGCUCUCAUUCCUGUCCAGCUGUUAUGGGUAAACCUUGUGACGGAUGGUCUCCCUGCUACUGCUCUGGGAUUUAAUCCUCCUGAUCUUGAUAUCAUGAAUAAGCCACCACGCAACCCUAAAGAGCCACUGAUCAGUGGAUGGCUCUUCUUCCGUUACCUAGCUAUUGGAUGUUAUGUUGGCGCUGCCACAGUGGGUGCUGCUGCGUGGUGGUUUAUUGCUGCUGAUGGUGGUCCAAGAGUUACCUUUUAUCAGCUGAGCCAUUUUCUGCAGUGCAAAGAGGACAAUCCAGACUUCUCUGGUGUCGACUGUGUGGUUUUUGAGUCUCCAUAUCCAAUGACAAUGGCUCUUUCUGUACUUGUCACCAUAGAGAUGUGCAAUGCUCUCAACAGUCUAUCAGAAAAUCAGUCCUUGAUGAGGAUGCCCCCAUGGGAAAAUAUCUGGCUGGUGGGCGCUAUUUGCUUGUCCAUGUCACUCCACUUCCUUAUCCUUUAUGUGGAACCGCUGCCAAUUAUCUUCCAGAUCACACCUUUGAAUGUGACGCAAUGGCUGAUGGUAUUGAAAAUCUCACUACCUGUCAUUCUGCUGGAUGAAACACUUAAAUAUGUGGCCCGUAACUACCUGGAACCUGGUAAAGAUAGUGUGCGGCCUGCCACCAAACCAUGUUCUUUGUCAGCAUGCACCGAAGGAGUUUCCUGGCCGUUUGUGUUCAUUACUAUGCCCUUGGUUAUCUGGCUUUACAGCACAGACACUAACUUUAGUGAUAUGUUCUGGUCUUGACUGACAUGGUGACAUGUUUUACAUUAAAAGAAAAAGUUUAACUUAAUUUUUUUAUUGUUUAGAGCAACUGUCUAUUUCUGCUGAAUUUUCACAUGAACAUAUUUGCCGGUGAUGGAGGUUUCAUAAUCUAGAUUUUGGUUUUUUGCUUUUUCUGACUUCAGUGGGGGCAAUAUAUUCCUCUUUUAUACACAGUUAAAGUGUCCAUUGACAUGUACAGAGAACUAACACUAUUUUAUGCAAAUAUUUUUUUGUAGAUGAAAAGCAUGUACAGUGUUCUGUUCAAUAGUCUAUUCAUCAUGUAAAAAAAGUAAAUUUUUUUUUUGAGCCAGCGGACACUAUCAGACUAAAUUGGCAGCAGAUUUUAGGGAAUGAAUGUGUGUCGUCUAAAACUAAAAAAGCAUGUAACUGUUUGUCUUCUGCAUGAUCAUCCAAACUUAAUAUGUCAUAAAGUCAGGUUUUAUUCAUAAGCAGAACUUUCUGCACUGGGUAGAGAGUACUGCUACCUCAGUCAGGAUUUCUUCUUGGAUUCCCCUCUUCCUGUUCCUCACUCUCGGUUCUUGACUGUCCUUGUUUACACCAGUUUCUGUAUGAGGUAUGCCUAAUCUUGCUCAUGCAGAAAAUAUCAUUCCAGGUGCAGCCUGCUGGGGUUCUUCCAUACUUUCAACACACAUAGGGUUGUUUUUUUUUUAAGAUUAUUUAUUUAAGUGUCUAUUGUAUUUUACUGUAACAGACCUUAUUUUGCCAGUGUUGCCCAUUAGGCAGGGAUAGGGAGGGCUACUUCUGUCUACUUAAAUCUAAACCAAGCCUUUUUAACAAACACAAUCUGUUUUAAUUCCAAAAGAGGGUUUAAGUUGGGUUUUAAUACCUUAUUUACAUGUGUCAGACCCUUUCUUUUUUUCUUCCCCACCCUGCCCCCCCCCCCCCCCCCCCCUCCUCCGCUUUAAGAUCAAACCUUGUAAUGAGACCUGGAAAAAUAACUUGCACUGCAUAGUUAGAACUUGGAUUUCCUACACUUAGGGCACUAAUAAUCAGAGUUGUGUACAUGGAGUUACUCUGCUGGCCUGUUGUUAGCCUGACUUGAAGUAACAAGCUCGUGUGUGUUUUUUGUAAAAUCUGUAAAUAGCACAUGACCAAAUUGAACAUAUUGUAUAGAACUAUUUUUAUUUUAAUGUGGCACUAACCACCUUCAUUAUUACAGUAAAUGUUAAAGCAUGUUUUCAAAUUCAGUCCUGUAUCAACAAUGUGUAAGUCAUUAACAGUCCUAACUGUGGUGUUUUUCUCCAAUGCCUUCCAACUUUCAUCGACUAAACAAUACUGGAGUAAUCGCUUCCUAAACAAUUUUGCAGAAAUGUAAGGUUGUUUUGUUGCGUGCAUGUGUUUUUAGCAACACAUCUACCAAAACUUCUGCAUGUAUCAUGUGUAAAGAUUCUUUGCUUUCCCUAAAACAAAACUCAUUGUGUUCUCUGUGGAAGAAAUGUGUGGUACCAUUAGGACUUCAUUAUACAGAUGUACAAAUGUGCAAUAUAGCUUACCGAAUUGGAAACUCUCUCCAGAGAAGUUUGGUUUCUGUGCUGCAUGGAGAAGAGUUUGUUUAUCCUUGAACAAGAAUUGCGGAGCUGUCAGCCAAUUUUCCAUAUUUCUGUAUGUAAAAUGUCAAGUUUAUACAAUGUACAAUAUCAAAAUAAUGCAUGCCUUUGGUUGUAGACAAAUCUUUCUCUGUAUUGUAUCAUCCAAACAUACUACUCUAGAACAGCUUAUGUACAAUGCUAUCCUAUUUAUAACAUUAAUUGAAAAGAUUACAGAUGAAUGUUAAACCAUAAGCCUCCAGUUCCUAACUUUGGAUUUUUUAUCUUGUGUGCAAAUCAACCUCUUUUGCACUGUAAUGUAACUUAUUUAAAUCUAAGGCAGUAAGACAGAUGUUGGUGCAAUACAAAAUAUUGUGAUGCAUUUAUCUAAAAAGCAACAACUGACUUAGCCAGUUACCACAACUGCAUGUAUGACCUUUAGAAGUUGUAAAUAAGAUCAAUUGUCUAUUUACAUGCUGACAGUAAGAAGCAUCACACCUAGUUUCAUUUGUAUCAGGUAAAUAAAUUUAUUCUACAAUACAUACUUUGCGUGUUAUUUUAUGCACUUUGUUUUCUGCAGGUACAUGCGUACAUACUUCAGCGCUCUCUUAUAGUAAUGCCAGGAUGACACUUACUAGCACCAACACCAUUGCAAUCUUUCCUCCUAGAACUAUGCAGAUGCCAGCUGCUCUUCCGGCAGUAUUGACCUCCUCGCUGGUGUGAUUUCCUCUGUCCAGGGGCUUGUGUGUGUGUGUGUAAGGGACACUGUCAAGUACUUUGAUCACUCAAUUUUUUUAAAAUGCUCCAUUGUUUGUAAAAUCCCUCUGAGAAACUUAAAAUAAACAUUUCUUUCCCAACUA